rnacentral:miRNA from 1 species
CUUAGCACGUUGUAUUAUUAUU